GUUGAGGAAAAUAAGCCGAGAGCCAGAUUGUGAGAGUUGUAAGCCAUGGUAAGCUUGGUGCUACCUCUUUAUUUUCUUUAUUAUUUGCUUAUGACAAUUAUGAUUGAAAAAAGUAUUAUUGAAUUGAUAAUUGUAGAAUGGAUUAUGGAUUGAAUUAAGAUAGAAAUAGUAAGCCUUAGUAUUUUAUAGUUUGAUAAUU
rnacentral:lncRNA from 1 species